GAUGAACGCUGGCGGCGUGCCUAAUACAUGCAAGUCGAGCGAAUGGAUUAAGAGCUUGCUCUUAUGAAGUUAGCGGCGGACGGGUGAGUAACACGUGGGUAACCUGCCCAUAAGACUGGGAUAACUCCGGGAAACCGGGGCUAAUACCGGAUAACAUUUUGAACCGCAUGGUUCGAAAUUGAAAGGCGGCUUCGGCUGUCACUUAUGGAUGGACCCGCGUCGCAUUAGCUAGUUGGUGAGGUAACGGCUCACCAAGGCAACGAUGCGUAGCCGACCUGAGAGGGUGAUCGGACACCCUGGGACUGAGACACGGCCCAGACUCCUACGGGAGGCAGCAGUAGGGAAUCUUCCGCAAUGGACGAAAGUCUGACGGAGCAACGCCGCGUGAGUGAUGAAGGCUUUCGGGUCGUAAAACUCUGUUGUUAGGGAAGAACAAGUGCUAGUUGAAUAAGCUGGCACCUUGACGGUACCUAACCAGAAAGCCACGGCUAACUACGUGCCAGCCACCGCGGUAA
rnacentral:rRNA from 1 species